UACAGAGGUCCCGAGCGUUGUUCGGAUUCAUUGGGCGUAAAGGGAGCGUAGGCGGAUAGUUUAGUCAGAGGUGAAAGCCCAGGGCUCAACCUUGGAAUUGCCUUUGAUACUGGCUAUCUUGAGUACGGAAGAGGUAUGUGGAACUCCGAGUGUAGAGGUGAAAUUCGUAGAUAUUCGGAAGAACACCAGUGGCGAAGGCGACAUACUGGUCCGUUACUGACGCUGAGGCUCGAAAGCGUGGGGAGCAAACAGG
rnacentral:rRNA from 1 species